AACUCUCAACCCUUCUUACUUGUUUUCGAGUUCGAAUGGUGUUGGAUGGUGGAGGCUUGCCGGACCUUUCAAUGGGUUCAGCUCCUCUGAAAUGCAUUAGCAGUACGAACCAUUACUUGGGCUACGCUAAGCUGUGAUAAUAUCUAAGCUAGCUUGGUUCAGAGUGUUGGCAGAGCUCGGGUGUUUGGAGGGUUUGCCUCGCGGCUCCCUUUGUGUUCUCUCUUCGGAGAGAUACCUAUGCGACUCUGUGAAAGGUUUUUGCGACCGCUUCGAACCGUCUCCUUGACUGAGACAACUUUAACUGAUUAU
rnacentral:misc_RNA from 1 species